rnacentral:rRNA from 1 species
UACGUAGGGGGCAAGCGUUAUCCGGAUUUACUGGGUGUAAAGGGAGCGUAGACGGCCAUUCAAGCCAGAUGUGAAAGCCCGGGGCCCAACCCCGGGACUGCUCUUGGAACUGCGUGGCUGGAGUGCAGGAGGGGCAGGCGGAAUUCCUGGUGUAGCGGUGAAAUGCGUAGAUAUCAGGAGGAACACCGGUGGCGAAGGCGGCCUGCUGGACUGCAACUGACGUUGAGGCCCGAAAGCGUGGGGAGCAAACAGG